rnacentral:lncRNA from 1 species
UAUAUAUAUAUAUAUAUAUAUAUAUGUUUUGAUGUCAUUAUGUAUUGUGAAGGCUCGCCAACAAAAAGUCAGAGAAGAGAAAUUGAGAAGUUUCUGAAAGAGUCUUAUGAUAACCUCUUCAAUCAAGGUUCCUCAAACGGUAUUAUCCUUAUUCGGUUAUUUGUUUAAAGUAUUUUUAGCCAUUUAGGAACUAUUUACUUGUAGAAAUAUGUGUAGUUUUCGAGAAAAAUUUUUCAAAAAAAAUUGAAAGACAGAGAAACUCUUUGAGUUUUCUAUUUAGAAAAUUGAAAAUAAUUUUCCAUUUCUCCAAAAUUUAACUACGAUUUGAAAAAUAACUUUAAGUGUUAUUUGUCAUAAUUUUCCAUUAUAUUAAAAGUCAUGUUCUCGGCCUAUUUUCCACUUUAAAAAGAUGACCUCUCCAUAAUUAAAUUUAGGAAAAAUUGUAAUAUUAUCCUUGUAUUAUGCCAAAAUUAUUUAUUAUAUCUCUUUUUUUAAAAUACAUUAUUUUGUCCUUGUGUUUUUUCCUAUUAUGCAUUAUGGUCCUUCCGCCAAAAAAAAUUCAAUUUUGUGUUCUCUCCCAAACUUAAAUAAAUUAAAAAUGUGGGCGUUUUUUAAAUUUUGACCUCUUAAAAACUGGGCCAUUGAGUUUUUAGUUUCUAGACCUAUUUGUUUCUAAAUCGAAAGUCCUAAUCUACUAAUUAAAACAAUUAAAUUGUCUACCUUUAAAGCCAAAAGCCAAAUGUGGAAAAUAAUAAUAUAUUUUAUUGUAAUUAAUUAAUUUUUAUAGGAUUAAAUUUAGUCAUAUUUUAUUCUUUCUAUUUAAAAUUAUUUAUUAAUUAUUUAUUCUUUUGUAAAAGUCAAAUUUGAAACUGUUUUUUAUUUGAUAUCAAAGUUUUUUAAGCUAUAUUUUUUAUUUUAUUUAAUAAAUAUAUUUAAAAAUAUUAUAUAUAAAAAUCCAGUUGAACCCUCCGAUUCAGCGAAUCCCUAUCUUCAUUGGUUCAUUGACCGGUCUGGUUCUCAGAAUACUGAUAAUAACUAUUACUUGUAUCUAAUAAAUAAUUUUAUUGAAAAUUAUAGAAGCAUUUAUAAUUAUAGAAGUAUUUAUAUUAUAAUUUUUUAUUUUAAAAAAUUUGUACAAAAUGAUAAAAUUUAAAUAAAUCAAUAAUAUAUUUAAAAAUACAAAAUUUUUAUAAUUUUUUAUUUCUUUUCAUUAUAAAAGUUAUCAAUAAUAAAAAAAUUUUAACUUGAUAUAUGAAUUUUUAUUAUUAAUAAGUGAAUAUGUUUUCCAUUUUUUGUUUUUCAUUUUUCUAAAAAAUAAAAAAUAGAAAACAGUUUAAGUAAAUAUAGUCUUCUAUUCUAUUUAGAAACAUAACUUUUUAACUAAUAAAGAAUUUAAUAACAACUGUAAUAUUUGCAGCAAAAAUUUAUUGUCUAUUAUAUUUUCUUUAUCAUGUGUGUAUAUAUAUAUAUAUAUAUAUAUAUAUAUGUCAUUAUAUUUUUAUUAUUAAACUAAUUAUACAACAUAUAAAAAGGUGAAAUUGUAAAUAUUGUCAGAAAAUACUUAAUUACUAUUGGUGUAUAUCCAUGGGUCAUACACAAGCUAGUAGUUAAUUACAUUUUAAAAAACGGUUGAUGUUACAUAAAUUUUUGCAGGAGGUAAAAAGUACAAACAACAGAAAUAUCCAAAAAAGCAAAGAGCUAAAGGCAGUAACAGUUCGGAUGCUGCAGAGUUAGAGCAUGAACUAGUGGAUGUACCUAUUAGUUAUGCAGACCUUUGAUCCAACUUAUAGAACCAGAAGAUGAAAAGGUGCCUAAAUAUUAUUAUUAUUAUAUAUUUAUCUUCCUAAUUAGUAUAAUCUAUGUAUUUACAAGUGAUCCUUGUAUAAUAUACUUUGCUUUAAUGCUACCUAAAUGGAUUAUUAUUAUUAUUUUAUAUUAUAUUAA